GUUCUGGUUGAGGAACCAGUGAACAACCAGCGGUUGAGAGGGAAUCUGACACCUAGGUUGGGACUAGAAUAGGCCCACAUGGAGCAAGGGAGGCAAAAGAGAAAUCUGAGCUGAAAAUGGAAGGGUAUCGCUCUCUCUUACCCUGUUUGGGAGGCCUCCAGCUUCCCCAGAUCAUGCUCUGUUUUGCCAUGUGGAUGAAUUACCUCUCUUUGUGCCUGCUUCCUGGACCCUCCUCUACCCACAGCUGCUGGAUCUGAUCUUCAUCCAUCUUCACCCAGGCCAAGGACCCCAGGGAGCUCUGGGGAGGCUCCAGUCCACAGUAGUAAUGAGAAGCAGGACUUCCAGGAGCCCUGCUGCCGAUGAGAGUCAGGGAACACGAUCACCUAAUCGUUGUGAAAUUACCAGCAGAUAAACUGGUUGACUCUUCAGAGAGAAAAUUGAGGCUAUCAGCUGGACAGAAAUUUAUCAGUGGAACAUAUCUAGAAUUGGCUGUGCUGAGUCAUAAGGAGUGUCACUCUUCUGUUCUAAGCAAGGCAAAAUUACGUUCUAACAGAAUGCAUCCAGCAUUGUUUAAAGAGGGAGGCAACAGCCAAGAAGAGCUAUGUGAGGCCUCUCUUGGCCCUCCAGUUCUUCAUUAGGGAGCAAAGAAAGGAGGACUUUGCCAAGAGCAAACCUGAAACAUUCCUUUGGGUUCAGUUCAAUCGCCUGCAAGUCACGUUUCCACACAAACAUGUCCCCAGGACUGAGGAUGCAAGGCACUGUUCAAGGCGUCUCUUGGAUGAAGACAUGGCAAAAGCUACCACCACCAUGCAGCUCUGUGAUGUAUGUGAAGAGAAUCCGUUUACAGGAGAUGAUUGUAAAUUAUUACCCUCUAAAACUGACAUAUGCCUCUCUGAGAAUAUAAACUCCAUAAUUAUGAGCACUCACUUUCAGAGAACCAAUGACUUUAGAUCUGAACCAAUGACUUUAGAGUUCAAAAGACCAGAGAUAUCUGUCAGAUGUCUCAAUCACAUCAUUUUAAAAUAAGAGAAAGUUUAGGCUAAGAGAGAGCAAGGGAUUUGUCUAAGAUCAAGGGGCUGAUCAGAGUUUCAUGUAGAACCAAGACUUGUGAUUCCAAAUUCAGCAGCUUUGACCUCUGCUCUUUAUGCCCUGGACUUACGCAAUACUCAGUGCCUGACACAGAUACAUUUUCACACUUCAGCCUUUCUGACUUACUCUGAACCAAUCCUUUUGAAAGUUUUCUUUAUUUAUCAUAUCUGCUUUUCUUGCAUUUUAAAAAUAAA
rnacentral:lncRNA from 10 species